UGGCUCAGGAUGAACGCUGGCGGCGUGCCUAAUACAUGCAAGUCGAGCGAACAGAUAAGGAGCUUGCUCCUUUGAAGUUAGCGGCGGACGGGUGAGUAACACGUGGGUAACCUACCUAUAAGACUGGAAUAACUUCGGGAAACCGGAGCUAAUGCCGGAUAACAUAUAGAACCGCAUGGUUCUAUAGUGAAAGAUGGUUUUGCUAUCACUUAUAGAUGGACCCGCGCCGUAUUAGCUAGUUGGUAAGGUAAAGGCUUACCAAGGCGACGAUACGUAGCCGACCUGAGAGGGUGAUCGGCCACACUGGAACUGAGACACGGUCCAGACUCCUACGGGAGGCAGCAGUAGGGAAUCUUCCGCAAUGGGCGAAAGCCUGACGGAGCAACGCCGCGUGAGUGAUGAAGGUUUUCGGAUCGUAAAACUCUGUUAUUAGGGAAGAACAAAUGCGUAAGUAACUGUGCGCAUCUUGACGGUACCUAAUCAGAAAGCCACGGCUAACUACGUGCCAGCAGCCGCGGUAAUACGUAGGUGGCAAGCGUUAUCCGGAAUUAUUGGGCGUAAAGCGCGCGUAGGCGGUUUCUUAAGUCUGAUGUGAAAGCCCACGGCUCAACCGUGGAGGGUCAUUGGAAACUGGGAAACUUGAGUGCAGAAGAGGAAAGUGGAAUUCCAUGUGUAGCGGUGAAAUGCGCAGAGAUAUGGAGGAACACCAGUGGCGAAGGCGACUUUCUGGUCUGUAACUGACGCUGAUGUGCGAAAGCGUGGGGAUCAAACAGGAUUAGAUACCCUGGUAGUCCACGCCGUAAACGAUGAGUGCUAAGUGUUAGGGGGUUUCCGCCCCUUAGUGCUGCAGCUAACGCAUUAAAG
rnacentral:rRNA from 1 species